rnacentral:rRNA from 1 species
GACGAACGCUGGCGGCGUGCUUAACACAUGCAAGUCGAACGGUAAGGCCCUUCGGGGUACACGAGUGGCGAACGGGUGAGUAACACGUGGGUGAUCUGCCCUGCACUUCGGGAUAAGCCUGGGAAACUGGGUCUAAUACCGGAUAGGACUCCUGGCUUCAUGGUUGGGGGUGGAAAGCUUUUGCGGUGUGGGAUGGGACCGCGGCCUAUCAGCUUGUUGGUGGGGUAAUGGCCUACCAAGGCGACGACGGGUAGCCGGCCUGAGAGGGUGACCGGUCACACUGGGACUGAGCUACGGCCCAGACUCCUACGGGAGGCAGAAGUGGGGAAUAUUGCACAAUGGGCGCAAGCCUGAUGCAGCGACGCCGCGUGAGGGAUGACGGCCUUCGGGUUGUAAACCUCUUUCAGCUAUGACGAAGCGCAAGUGACGGUAGUAGCAGAAGAAGGACCGGCCAACUACGUGCCAGCCGCCGCCGUAACAC